UGGUUCUGGCAUCGAUGAAGAACGCAGCGAAAUGCGAUAAGUAAUGCGAAUUGCAGAAUUCCAGUGAGUCAUCGAAUCUUUGAACGCACAUUGCGCCCUUUGGUAUUCCGAAGGGCAUGCCUGUUCGAGCGUCAUUAUCACCCCUCAAGCCCCGUGCUUGGUGUUGGACGGCGUCGGUCUUUCGACCGACCCCUCCUAAAGACAAUGACGGCGGCCUGCGGCUCCCCCGGUACACUGAGCUUCUCACCGAGCACGUAUCGGACGAGGGUGCCUAGGCCACGGUCUCUACUGUUACCCCAAAGGUUGACCUCGGAUCAGGUAGGAAUACGCGCUGA
rnacentral:misc_RNA from 1 species